AGAACACCAAUGCAUCCUCUUCCACUUUCAGUGAGAAAACUGAAAAGCCCCAUUGUUCCACCACCUCUAGGAAAGCUUUCUACCCUUAGCCAACAAGUAAAAGAGAACCCCUUAUUCAAUGGCCACUGAACUGGAGUCUUAAUCGAAAUUCCCGAUUCCACCCCAUUGAGAUCAAAGAAGGCAGUUGGUCCCUUCUCGUUGAGCAUUGACAGCAUGCUGGUCAAAA
rnacentral:misc_RNA from 1 species